GGAGUGAUAGCUCAGUGGUUAGGACGUUUGGCUACUGAUCGGAAGGUCAUGAGUUCUGAUCCCCAGCACCACCA